ensembl:lncRNA
GGAAAAACAAUUAGAGAAACCGUGUAACCUGGAUUAGAAUGGGGAGAGAUGAUUUUUUUAAAGGAAAACAAAGGUGCGUUUUAUAUGAAUUAUUUCCGUUUCCCAUGGCGAAUCAAAACCUGGGCAGUGUGAGAGCACUGUCCCCUCAGGAAUGAGAGCCUCGGGCCAGGAGUCCGGGUCCAACUCAGAGGUCUGAGUUUAGAUCUGGAAAAAGAGUGGAGUGCAGUGGUUAGGGAUGUAGCUACUUAAUCAUGCUGGGCCUCGGGUCCUUAUCUGUAGAAGAGGAAUGUAGUCACAGUGCCACCCAUGGGGCUUUGUGGGUGAUGGCACAAGCUGCUAGGACAGGGCUGCAACAGAGAGGGGGCACAGUACACAUUAGCAUCUCUGUCACCAUCACGUCAUCCUGGUUUUGCCUUAAAACUGGUGUCGAGUUUUGCCCAAACCUCUAACCCCUCUCUGUACUCUGAAGAUUGUUAUUAGUCAACACCCUUUCAGAGCGAAGGGGUGCAAACUUAUAUAUCUGGGGUGGGAGGAAUGACAGAAACCUAAGUAAGCUAUUGACCGUAUUCUUCCUCGAACGAAUAACCACUCUUGAUAAGUGAGUUAGCGAUGUGUUGUUAGCAGACUUAUGAUUUGUAAAAAUAUAGUCAAAACUCUGACACUGGUGAGUCUAGGAGAGAAAUGAGAAAGAGAAAUACUUCUGGCAUGUGAACUUGGAAAGUCAAGGCUAGUGCAAAUACUGGUGAUAUUUAAUCAUGAUGCUCAGCGUGUCUGUACCUUGCUAAUGAUGUUAAACCAUGAAGCCUGUGAGAUCUUGUGUUGCAGUGUGGUUUGGCCCUAGAACUCUUGCAUGCUAACCCAAAGUAGAAGAUUAGCCUGUUGCAUGCAGCCGGAUGCUGCCCCUGACGAGACAAGCAUGUUGUGGAGGUUGACGCAACUCAACCUCCAUUGGCUGAGUUCCUCCCCAGUCCUGUGUGUGGCCUCAUUCACUGUGAUAUUAGGUUGAAAAAGCUUGUUGAUGAACGGGAAUGCUUAUUGGAACAGGGCUGUUAUUAAAUCAUUCCACAGUCACUUUGGAAGGGAAAUCAAUUCUUCCCAUUUUCCCUCACAAGUCCUAAUCAAAGGUAUUUGCCUUACUUUUUACAAUUCCAUUGAAGAUUUCUCUCAAAAUGGGGGAAGGUACCAAAUUGUGGUGGGAGGAUUCUUUUGAAGUUCCUGCGACCUUUUACAAACAGUAUCCAUGGCAAUUCUGUGCUUAUUUUCUUAAAGCAGCAUGCACCAAUGGUUGUAUGUGCUUGGGGGCCUGCUCUGCUUGUCUCAGUGUGUGUCGGGACUUCCAACGAGUCCACAGAGAUUGAAGGUUAACAGGAAAAGGGCUGGGAGACUCCCCGUUAUACACCAAAAAAUUCUACAGUCGUGGCUGUUGACUGCAGUUCCAACUACACGUGUCUCUCUCCCAUGGAGAGAGGAAAGCUGCGUCAAGGCCAGCUCCCUGCACUGGCAAACCUGGACUUGAUCGGGUUCUCUGAGGGAGCACAGGGCUCUGCUGGGAACCCCAUUACAGUCCUUUUGUGUCUGGAAGGCUCCAAAUGGCCCUUCCUGGCUCCUUAGUAAAGAAAGCAAGGUUCAUAACACACUGACUUGCUAACUCUUAAACAUUCAAACUAUUUUAUGCACAAUCUCCUCCUGAAUACAAGAGGAAUUUCAACCUUAGCGAUAACUUUUCAGCCAGACUUACAAAAUAAUUCAUGCCUGAUAUGGUAAAUAUAAUUCCAUUUUUGUCCAUUAUACUGUUACUUUCAGAGAAGAGUAAGUACUAAUGGUGGGAAGGUUUGUCAUUUACUUGGGUGGGUUUCUUUGUUAAAGGAGAGAGGCUCCCUAUCUUCCUGGUGGAUUGUAGAGUAGAUUGUAACCUUCUACAACAUUUUUCUUGUGGUUUAUUAUGUAACCCCUGUCUCUGGCACUCUAGAGACACGCGAAAUAAUUGCAAGCAACAU